rnacentral:lncRNA from 10 species
CUAAGUCUUCAAUCUUGUCCAGAAGGGAGCCCUGCCUCCUACCUCAGCAGGGCCCUUUUUUUGCUGCUGCUCUGCAGAUGAUUUGUGGGGGUUUGGCUCCCUGGUACAGCCUUUGACCCAUGGCUAAAGAGAAAAAAAUCACUAGCAUAUUGCUUAAUUAUUUGUUGAGUUUGUUGUAUCCAAUUUUCAAAUGCUCAAUUGUUGAUCCAGGCUGUUUGGCAUCCUUUCCCCUGCUUCUGGAAUAACAUCCCUUCCAGUAUGUUGCAUUGUACAAGAUGAAGUUAGCUCUAAUAUUCUUUGAUGCAACACUGGACAAGAUGCUAUGUGUGGAGCUCUGCACUGGAAGCUGCAGAUACAGCCAUGAGUGGAGGAUCGGGGUCUGGGUCUGUAAGCACUAAGAGCCUGAGCAGUGGGCCAGUGCUCCAAUGAAGCCAGAGGCCUCCUGGGUCCUGACACAGCUGGGGAUGGGCGAGUACUUUAGUGGGGCAUGAGAUGAAGGGCAGGAAACAAGGCUAAAAAAAGGAGAAAGGGGGCUUCUGUACCUCAUGAGGAAUUUAGACUCCAUCCUGUAUUCCUGUUAGCCCAACUUUGUUCCUUUGUCCCACCAUCACUGUUUUGGCCAAUUCUGUGCUAUGGUGGUUAAUAGCAGGGCCACCAGAGCUGCAAGUUCAGGUUUGUAUCUAUGCUUUGCUGCUUACUGGCAGCGUGACCUUGGGAAAAUUACCUAACCUCUCUGUGCUCCAAUUCUUCAUUGCAGAAUGGAGAUGAUACCUCAUAGAAAUGUUAUGAAGGCUCAGUGUGUUACUACAUGUCAAGUGCUUACAAACAGUGCCUGACACCUAAAAAGAAUUCAAAAACCAUUGGCUGGUAUCUUUAUACCUGUGUACCAUUGGAAGUGAUGUUUUAAUAUAUGGUUUAGAAACGCAUAGCACUGUACAUGGAAAUUCAGGAUGUGAAGAUCCAUACUAACAAUUUAUAUCAUCUGCACAAUGUAUACCCCUGGAAUGUAGAGGCAGAGAUUUGGUUACUGAGGUUUUAAAAAAUCACUGGGCAUGGCUGAAAAAUGCUCCUGUAAUCCAUGUCAACUUUGUAAGAUGAAUUACCAUAGGCAUAACUACUUGAGCUUCCCCCUGAGAAAAAAAUAUGUGAAAUCACUAGUGUAAUUUUAAUAAUUAUACAUUAAAAUAAAUAUAUUACUAUUAAAAUUAAAAUUGUUCAACCCUCUGCUUCCUAAAACUUGUUUAUGCAUAAAACCCUUAUUGUAUACAAUGAAGAGACAGAAAUGUUUUAAGCAGGGAGUGACAUGCACAGAUUUGUAUUUAAAAAUUUUUAGUAAUAUUGCCUCCUUUUUUGUUCCUUUCCUUACCCUCAAUGUGAGUGCUUGAUAAGCAGAGGGGAAGAUAAAUCAGGCUUUGCAAAAGCUGGGAUUAACUUGCCUUUUUCACACAUAGCAUUGUUUUCCUGUUCAGUUGUAACAUGUCAUAUUGGUUUUGAAUACAAUGUUUUAAAUAGAGUAAACAAAACACUUGGAUUUCUCAAAGAGCUGAGGCCACAACAGAACAUUUGCACAGCCUGUUAUUUCUAGCUGGAAUGCUCUUUACCUGCCUUCCACUUAGCUCCUACUUACUUAACUUCAGAAUUCUGUAAAGCAAUAUUUCAUAGGGAAGCCUUACUCUGUCUAGCUUACCAGUCAGAUUGCCUCAUUAUUUAUUCAUCUGAUGCAAGUCUAUGUCCUACAGUUUAUCACAGUUGUAACUAUACAUUUAUUGGUGUGACCACUUGAUUAAUACCUGUCUAGCCCACUAGAUGGUAAGAACCAUGAGUAAAAGGAUCAUGCCUGAUUUUGCUUACCACUUAUCACCAGUACUUUGCACAAUGCCUGGCACAUAAUAGGAUCAAUAAAUAUUUUUGGAAUACAUAAAUGAAUGAAUGAAUUAAACAUCAUUUUUAAGGCACUCCAUUUUACCUUCAUUAUAAACAUGUAGAAUAGAAAGAGCACAAAAUUUGAAAUUGUCACCUGGAUUUAUGUCUAUAACCCACCUCUUAUGAACACUGGUCUGGCCACAUGCUAACAUUUUUGAGCUUCUGGAUCCAGUAGUAUCACUUAUCAAUAGGAUUUUGGUGAAAAUAAAGUAGUAUAAUACAAGGGAAAGGGUAAUGUGUAUAUUCUAUUAGUGUAUACAUAUGUUAAACUAAUUAUUGCUCUGAGUUGGUCACAUACAGAAGUUCAUAGAAUACUUUCUACCCUCAAAGAAUAUGCUUUCCUUGAACUUUCAAAAUACACUCACACAUGUACACACAAUGAUCACAAUGGUUACAGAAUAGUAUGAAACAGUGUGGCAUAAAAUGUGGUGCUACAAUUUUCAAGGGGACUUUUUAAAAUUUUAAUUUAAUUUAAUUUAUUAUUAUUAUACUUUAAGUUCUGUGGUACAUGUGCAGAACAUGCAGUUUUGUCACAUAGGUAUACACGUGCCAUGGUGGUUUGCUGCACCCAUCAACCCGUCACCUACAUGAGGUAUUUCUCCUAAUGCUAUCCCUCACCUAGCCCCCCACCCCCCAACAGGCCCUGGUGUGUGAUAUUCCCCUCUGUGUGUCCAUGAGUUCUCAUUGUUCAACUCCCACUUAUGAGUGAGAACAUGCAGUGUUUGGUUUUCUGUUCCUGUGUUAAUUUGCUGAGAAUGAUGGUCUCCAGCUUCAUCCAUGUCCCUGCAUAGGACAUGAACUCAUCCUUUUUUAUGGCUGCAUAGUAUUCCAUAGUGUAUAUGUGCCACAUUUUCUUUAUCCAGUCUAUCACUGAUGGACAUUUGAAUUGGUUCCAAGUCUUUGCUAAUGUGAAUAGUUCUGCUAUAAACAUAUGUGUGCAUGUGUCUUUAUAGUAGAAUGAUUUAUAACCCUUCGGGUAUAUACCCAGUAAUGGGAUUGCUGGGUCAAAUGGUAUUUCUAGUUCUAGAUUCUUGAGGAAUUGCCACAGUGUUUUCUACAAUGGUGGCACUAAUUUACACUCCCACCAACAGUGUAAAGGUAUUCCUAUUUCUCCACAUUCUCUCCAGUGUCUGUUGUUUCCUGACUUUUUAAUGAUCGCCGUUCUAACUGGCGUGAGAUGGUAUUUCACUGUGGCUUUGAUUUGCACUUCUCUAAUAACCAGUGAUGAUGAGCAUUUUUUCAUAUGUUUGUUGGCUGCAUAAAUGUCUUCUUUUGAGAAGUGUCUCUUCAUAUCCUUUGCCCACUUCUUGAUAGGGUUUUUUGGUUUUUUCUUGUAAAUUUGUUUAAGUUCUUUGUAGAUUCUGGAUAUUAGCCCUUUCUCAGGUGGGUAUAUUGCAAAAAUUUUCUCCCAUUCUGUAGGUUGCCUGUUUACUCUGAUGCAAUUUCUUUUUCUGUGCAGAUGUUCUUUAGUUUAAUUAGAUCCCAUUUGUCAAUUUUGGCUUUUGUUGCCAUUGCUUUUGGUGUUUUAGACAUGAAGUCUUUGCCCAUGCCUAUGUCCUGAAUGGUACUGCCUAGGUUUUCUUCUAGAAUUUUUAUGGUUUUAGGUCUUAUGCUUAAGUCUUUAAUCCAUCUUGAGUUAAUUUUUUAUAUAAGGUGUAAGGAAGGGGUCCAGUUUCAGUUUUCUGCAUAUGGCUAGCCAGUUUUCCCAACACCACUUAUUAAAUAGGGAAUCAUUUCUUCAGGGGGAUAUGUUAAUAUUUUAGAAGCAAGGUAGCAAAGAGAAAAUAUAAGAGUUUAAAUUUUAAUCCCUUGUUUCCCAUUUAGAAAACUGAUAUUAUAAUUUCAGUUCUGCCACUGACUGGCUAUAUGACCUUAAAUAAGUCAUUUAGAUUAUCUCAGUUUCCACAUUGAAAAUAGGGAUAAUUCUACCCCUUUGUAAGGUUGCUGCAAGAAUUCACAAGGGCUAUAAAUUCCUAUAUUUAAAAAAAAGAAUAAAGACCUCAAAAAGGAAAAGCUUCAAGUCAAGAACAAACUAAACCCAAGCAGGUAGAAAAAAGGAAAUAAUAAAGACCAGAAUGCAAAUAAACUAAAUAGAGAAUAGAAAACUAAUAGAAAAAAAUUUAACAAAACCAAAAAUUAGUUAUUAAGAAUGAAACUUUAAAUGAAUAAAUCCACAAACCUUAUUUAACUAGACUGACCAGGAAAAGAAAGAGAGGGGGAGAAGACCCAAAUUACUACAAUCAACAGUGAUAGAGGAGAUAUUGUUAUCAACCUUACAGAAAUAGAAUUGUAAAGGAAUACUAUGAACUAUUGUAAGUAAACAAAUUAGAUCACCUAAAUGAAAUGGACAAAUUCUUAGAAAGCCACAAACUACUGAAACUGAUUCAAGAAGGAAUAAAUAUUUGAAUAGGCCUAUAACAAAUAAAUAAAUUGAAUUAGUAAUCAAACACUUUACUCAAAGAAAAGCCCAAAACUAGAUAGAUUUAUUGGUACAAAAAUUUCCUUUAAAAAGAAUUAACACUAGGUCAUUGUCGUUGAAAAUCAAUUGGCCCUCUCCCUCUCCCUCUCCCUCUCCCUCCUCUCCCUCUCCCCACGGUCUCCCUCUCCCUCUCUUUCCACGGUCUCCCUCUGAUGCCGAGCCGAAGCUGGACUGUACUGCUGCCAUCUCGGCUCACUGCAACCUCCCUGCCUGAUUCUCCCGC